rnacentral:rRNA from 1 species
UGGCGGACGGGUGAGUAACGCGUGGGGAACCUGCCCUGUACAGGGGGAUAACACUUAGAAAUAGGUGCUAAUACCGCAUAAGCGCACAGUAUCGCAUGAUACAGGUGUAGAAAACUCCGGUGGUACAGGAUGGGACCCGCGUCUGAUUAGCUGGUUGGCGGGGUAACGGCCCACCAGGCGACGAUCAGUAGCCGGCCUGGAGAGGGUGAACGGCCCACAUUGGGACUGAGACACGGCCCAAACUCCUACGGGAGGCAGCAG